rnacentral:misc_RNA from 1 species
UUUCCGUAGGUGAACCUGCGGAAGGAUCAUUAUUGAAUAAACAGUGUGGGUUGUUGCUGGCCUUCUGGCAUGUGCACGCCUGCCAUAUGUUUCAUUCCCUUCUUUCCACCUGUGCACUAUGUGUAGGCUAUGUAUGCUGUAUUGUCAGGCCCUUCAUAAGGCUUGGUUUAGAGAGGAUGCUUGUCUUUAUGAGACAGGCUCAUCUUGGGCGUACAGGUCUAUGUUUUACACCAACACCAAAUGAAUGUCUUAGAAUGUAUCUUUUCAGGCUCUUGCUAGCCUUUAAACCAUAUACAACUUUCAACAACGGAUCUCUUGGCUCUC